CCUACGGGAGGCAGCAGUGAGGAAUAUUGGGCAAUGGGCGCGAGCCUGAACCAGCCAAGUCGCGUGAGGGAAGACGGUCCUAUGGUUUGUAAACCCCUUUAGUAGGGGAGCAAAAGACGCCGCGCGUGCUUUUCCGAGAGUACCCGAAGAAAGAGCAUCGGCUAACUCCGUGCCAGCAGCCGCGGUAGUAGGGAGGAUGCGAGCGUUAUCCGGAUUGAUGGGGUUAAAAGGGAGGGCAGGCGGAAGAUCAAGUAAGUGGGAAAAUUAAGGGGCUAAACCACUACGUGCCGUUGAAACUGGUGUUCUUGAGUGAGUGAGAGGUAGGCGGAAUGCGUGGUGUAGCGGUGAAAUGCGUAGAUAUCCCGCAGAACUCCGGUGGCGAAGGCAGCAUACCGGCGCUCAACUGACGCUCAUGCGCGAAAGUGUGGGUAUCGAACAGGAUUAGAUACCCUGGUAGUC
rnacentral:rRNA from 1 species